AGGAAUGGAGCCUCAGUGGUAGAGUAUCUGCUUUGCAUGCAGAAGUUCUCCGGUUCAGUCCCCAGCAUCCUCA